rnacentral:rRNA from 1 species
GACGAACGCUGGCGGCGUGCUUAACACAUGCAAGUCGAACGGAAAGGCCCUGCUUUUGUGGGGUGCUCGAGUGGCGAACGGGUGAGUAACACGUGAGUAACCUGCCCUUGACUUUGGGAUAACUUCAGGAAACUGGGGCUAAUACCGGAUAGGAGCUCCUGCUGCAUGGUGGGGGUUGGAACGUUUCGGCGGUUGGGGAUGGACUCGCGGCUUAUCAGCUUGUUGGUGGGGUAGUGGCUUACCAAGGCUUUGACGGGUAGCCGGCCUGAGAGGGUGACCGGCCACAUUGGGACUGAGAUACGGCCCAGAUUCCUACGGGAGGCAGCAGUGGGGAAUAUUGCACAAUGGGCGGAAGCCUGAUGCAGCAACGCCGCGUGCGGGAUGACGGCCUUCGGGGUGUAAACCGCUUUCGCCUGUGACGAAGCGUGAGUGACGGUAAUGGGUAAAGAAGCACCGGCUAACUACGUG